AAAAAAAAUAUAUAUAUAUGUGUGUGUGUGUGUGUGUGUAAUAUAUGUAUACACACACAUAUAUACACACAUAUAUGCAAAUAUAUA
rnacentral:pre_miRNA from 1 species